rnacentral:rRNA from 1 species
GAUGAACGCUGGCGGCGUGCCUAAUACAUGCAAGUCGAGCGAACAGACGAGGAGCUUACUCCUCUGACGUUAGCGGCGGACGGGUGAGUAACACGUGGAUAACCUACCUAUAAGACUGGGAUAACUUCGGGAAACCGGAGCUAAUACCGGAUAACAUGUUGAACCGCAUGGUUCAACAGUGAAAGACGGUCUUGCUGUCACUUAUAGAUGGAUCCGCGCCGCAUUAGCUAGUUGGUAAGGUAACGGCUUACCAAGGCAACGAUGCGUAGCCGACCUAAGAGGGUGAUCGGCCACACUGGAACUGAGACACGGUCCAGACUCCUACGGGAGGCAGCAGUAGGGAAUCUUCCGCGAUGGGCGAAAGCCUGACGGAGCAACGCCGCGUGAGUGAAGAAGGUCUUCGGAUCGUAAAACUCUGUUAUUAGGGAAGAACAAAAGUGUAAGUAACUAUGCACGUCUUGACGGUACCUAAUCAGAAAGCCACGGCUAACUACGUGCCAGCCGCCGCCGUAA